rnacentral:tRNA from 1 species
CCCGCCUUAGCUCAGUCUGGCCAGAGCGCGCGACUGUAGAUCGCGUGGUCCCCGGUUCAAAUCCGGGAGGCGGGA